UACAGGGGGGGCAAGCGUUGUUCGGAAUUACUGGGCGUAAAGGGCGCUUCGGCGGCCUUCUAAGUCGAACGUGAAAUCCCUCGGCUUAACCGGGGAACUGCGUCUGAUACUGGAUGGCUUGAGUUUGGGAGAGGGACGCGGAAUUCCAGGUGUAGCGGUGAAAUGCGUAGAUAUCUGGAGGAACACCGGUGGCGAAGGCGGCGUCCUGGACCAACACUGACACUGAGGAGCGAAAGCCAGGGGAGCAAACGGG
rnacentral:rRNA from 1 species